rnacentral:tRNA from 1 species
GCCCGGUUAGCUCAAUGGUAGAGUUGAAUGCUUCUAACAUUUAGAUCUUAGUUCGAAUCUAAGACUGGGUA